AAUCCAUGCUGAGGGCAACAUCAAAUCAAAUCUUUAUACCUUUCCCAUGCCUCAUAGAUUGAUUUGAAAUCAUUUUGCUUGAAUUGACCAAUCUCUCUUCUGAGUUU